rnacentral:rRNA from 1 species
AACGAACGCUGGCGGCAUGCCUAACACAUGCAAGUCGAACGAGACCUUCGGGUCUAGUGGCGCACGGGUGCGUAACGCGUGGGAACCUGCCCUUAGGUUCGGAAUAACUCCCCGAAAGGGGUGCUAAUACCGGAUAAUGUCUUCGGACCAAAGAUUUAUCGCCUUUGGAUGGGCCCGCGUUGGAUAAGCUAGUUGGUAGGGUAAAAGCCUACCAAGGCGACGAUCCAUAGCUGGUCUGAGAGGAUGAUCAGCCACACUGGGACUGAGACACGGCCCAGACUCCUACGGGAGGCAGCAGUGGGGAAUAUUGGACAAUGGGCGAAAGCCUGAUCCAGCAAUGCCGCGUGAGUGAUGAAGGCCUUAGGGUUGUAAAGCUCUUUUACCCGGGAUGAUAAUGACAGUACCGGGAGAAUAAGCUCCGGCUAACUCCGUG